rnacentral:rRNA from 1 species
UACGGAGGGAGCUAGCGUUGUUCGGAAUUACUGGGCGUAAAGCGCACGUAGGCGGAUCGUUAAGUCGGGGGUGAAAUCCUGGAGCUCAACUCCAGAACUGCCUUCGAUACUGGCGAUCUUGAGUCCGGAAGAGGUGAGUGGAACUCCUAGUGUAGAGGUGGAAUUCGUAGAUAUUCGCAAGAACACCAGUGGCGAAGGCGGCUUACUGGUCCGGUUCUGACGCUGAGGCGCGAAAGCGUGGGGAGCAAACAGG